CGCCCUUCCAGCCCCGCCCCCCGCCUCAACGUUCCAUUCCCCCGCGGUCCACGUGGCUGUCACUUCGGAAGCUACCGUCGAAACUGGAGAGGUUAGCCGGGGCCACCGGUUGGAGGGGGAAAGCACAAAUGCAGUCUCCCACUACCACAAAUUAUGCAGUCGAGUUUCCUGCAUUUGUGGAAAUCGCAGGGGUUAGCACUCCAGGAUUACAAUGGGGUGAGCCUCCCCCUGGGAAAAAAGACCUUGGUGAUCCUGGUAUCUCCCCUACCAGGCUCCUACCACUUCAAUCCCCUGUGCCCUCUGGAACAAUGUCUAGCUCAGAUGUUGGCAGCAGCAACCCACAAACCUUCACAGCACUGGGACCCAGGAGCCUUGGUUUUGAGGACAAAAGGUUUAUUGUCAACUGCCCGUUAUCUCCUACGAGAAUGUAAGCUCCAGAAGAAGAGAGAUGUUUGUCUGUUUUGUUUGCCGAUGAAUCCCAAGUGCCCAGAACCAUGCCUGGCACACAGUUCCUGCUCAAUAAAUAUUUUUUGAUGGAAUGGAGGAACCUCUUCACCCCUGGUGAAACAGCCUGCCUGCCAAGGAGACCAUGCCAUACCAGGACCACCCAGCAGAUGGCAGCCGAUGAACGCCAGAGACAGCUGGGAGCCUAUACUUUGAACUCAAGGUUCCUCCCAAUUAAUUCUAAGAUAACCCAGGAGACAAAAUCAAGUUCAACUUCCUCUUGUGUUCGUGAGAAAGAGCUUGUGUGUGGGAGGCGAGCUGCUAAAGCCUUUAUCUAAUGCAGUAGGCUGUUUACCCACAAUUCAGGGGCAAAAAAAUGAAAACAGCUGCUAAGGAGAACCAAGGUCAGAGUCUUCCCUCGGUGGGAAAAGGGGUGAAGAAGGCCGUCGGUCUCCUCCAGAGGAUGGAGAAGCGACAUCGGACCACUAUGACCGAGGAAAGAAGCCACACUAAGGACGAACACAUCGCCUGGGGGUGGGCGUUUCCGGUCUUCCGCUGAACACGCCAGAAGAUGCUCUGCAACACGGGUCUCUGGGCCCUGCCAGACCCCCCCCCUCCCCCGGCUCCAGUGCUUCUGGAACCCAUGCACGCAGGAUAUCGAGUUGCAGCUGUACCAAACCCUUCGCCCCAAGGCCAGGGAACCCGCCUUAGAUCAAAUUCGGCAUUCGAGGGCGUCAGGUUAGGGGCAACCUUUCCCCCCUAAUGUAACUUUUAAUGUAACCCUCCUCCCUCCUUUAUUCUCACCGAACCGUGACCUCCUGGUUCAUAGGUCGAUGCUCAACCACUGAGCCACACCGGUGGGGCUGAACCAAAGCUCUUUACACACAUGCACCCAGCAACUAGGGUGCUUCACACACAACAUGUACACACAUACACACAUAGACACACACACCAAGAAUUUUCAUCCCCCUAGCAACCAAAGAGCUUUACACACACACACACACACACACACACCAAAGCACUUCAUGUACACAUUCCAACAACCAAAGAGUUCACACACCCACUCACACAUCCCCAACAACCAAAGCACUUCACACACAUACACCCCAAAAAGCUUUCCUCCCCCAACCAAGGUGCUUCCUACACUCCCCCACAGACCCCACCAACAGAAGAAAACCCCAAAGCACUUGGGUAGUUUGCCGCAGCAGCAGGUACUUGAACACUAAUACAUUCGACUGCGACUUUCUUUACAGAUUAAUGAGCAGAGAAAGAUGAGGGGGGGGGGGUGGUAGAAUGGCGGGAGAGAGCAAUUACACCCAAAUCUUUUCUCUGUUGAUUAGGGAUUCCUUCUCCAGCCUGCUUUGGCUCCUGCUAAAUCUUUUUCUAAUGAGAUGUGGCUUAUCCAGAUCAGAGCGCGGAGAAAAAAAGUUGCAAUUAACUUUAAG